CAAGAGUAAACUCACUCCAUUUCUAUUUUCCCUUUCUCUUUCUCCUUUCUCUUCUCAUCGCCUCCCCUGAAGAGAUUAGGGUUUCACCUGUUUCGAUUCAGUUUCAAUUUCACAGAUAUGUUAUUGAUUUACACUCGUUUUCAUUUUCGUUCUCUAAAUUUAUCCUCUGCUUUUUUUCUCAACUGAAAAGCCUAGCUGUUAUUUCAUUAUGUUUCUCUAAAUCAAUUCAGAAAACCUUAUCAAUAUUACUCAGUUCAGAAAACCCUAGCUUCGUUUUUUUCAUUUGUUCUCUAAAUCAAUUCAGAAAACCCUAUAAAUAUCGCUCAAUUUAGAAAACCCUAGCUUCGUUUCUCAUAUGUUUCUCUAAAUCAAUUCAGAAAACCCUAUGAAUAUCACUAGAUUGAGAAGAACACUCAUCGGCAAAGCUGUAAUCAAAGAGAUCCUUGCUAUUCAUAAGGGUAUGCCUCGUAAGUUCUACCAUGGACGUACUGGUAUUGUUUGGAAUGUUACAUACGUGCUGUUGCUGUUGAAAUCAACAAACAGAAGGAGGUGUAAUCAUCAUGUUUUCGAGUAUGUUUGGUAAACUUAAAGAAGAAACUAAUGCCUUAAAAAUGUUAGAUAAAUUGGAUGAGUGCCGUUUGUUUGAUGAGGGAAUGGAAUGGUGAAAAGUGGAUUUGAAGCUAUAGUUGGAAGUGGAACCACAGGAGGAGCUGGUGUCGUCAAGAAUGGGAUUGGAGCUGGAGCAGUUGGAAGCGGGAUUGGAGAUGGAGCUGGAUAUGUUGCAAGAAGAAUUGGCUUUAAAAAAAAAGUCAGCUUUAAAUGAAUUGAAAGAAUUACGGGGCUUCGCUUUUAACACUUACAAUUUGCUCUCCGGGUGUAGGACCAAGAGGCAGUUAAAGCUGCCAAGAAAGAGAUGGGUUGUUGGGUUAAAGUGACUUGUUGUCAUUAUCUCAUAGACACUUCAGAUGUAUGAGAAAAAAGAUAAUGUCCUUUUAAGAAAGCAUGGACUAGAGGUCGAGAAGGCCUAGGAGUACAUGAGAGCUAUGAACAAAAGAGGAAAGAAAGACCACCAAUUACUUUUCAUUUCCUUGUCCAAUGCUUCCUGCUUGCAUUAUGUGGGUAAGCAUGGGAAAAGCUUCCAAAAACAUAUCUAGAGGAAUUUGAGAUGAUGUUCUUCGUUUCCAUUUGUCAAAAUAUAGUGGAUUUGUCUUAUCAGAAUAAUCCUCAGGGGGAGUCACUAGUAUGGCAGAGGGAAUGGUAGGAGCUGAGCUAGCAAAUAUUAUUGAGGUUGCUGCCUUCAAUACGAUGGUUGACUAACGAACUGAGGUACCUUGCUUCCAGCAUUGAGGGGUGAGGAUCUUGGAUCCACUGUGAACAUAGCUGGCGGGAACCUUGCUUCCAACAUUAGGUAUUACCACUUUGCUAGCAUUGGGGAUAGUGGUGUAGCUAUUCUGUAUAGUAUUCAUUGGAUGUCAAGGAACAAAUGGUUGAGCAUGUGGUGAAUGGAACGAGGAAUGUGAUCAACCGUGUAGCGAAAGUCGUAAGGCGGGUGCGAGGCGGCUGAGUGGGGCCUGGGUCCUGAAAGGACUAGUCGGGGACUAGCCGGGGUCUAGGCGGAUAUAUAUAAAUAUACACAAAAUAUAUAUUAUUUAUGUCUAGUUAGAUUCACGUAAAAAAACCCUAUUUUAUAAGGGUGUAGUUGUCUUUUCACAACAUAUUUAUCCUUUUUCUAAAACUGAACCCUAGAAACAUAAGGAUUCUCAUCUCUUUUCACGCCUCCACCUCUCUACCAUUCAUCUCACUCCAUUACUGACCUCUCUCACUUCUUCCUCCCUCCAUGUUUUCUUAAUUUUCUUCAAGAUUCAACAGAAGUUAUGGCCUUCGUUGAAGUUUCAAUCGUUUGACAAGGAAAACAGUUCUUCUAAUUUUUAUUUUUUUCCCCUGUUUGGUUAAGGGUUUUGGACUAGGCGGCGCUCAGAUCCCAAAAAAUCGGUCAGAAUCGGCGCCUAGGCCCCAAAACGCCUAAUUUCAAAAACGCCCAAAAUUUCAGGCGGCCUUCGGACACCUAGGCCUGCCUGGGCGCCGCCUUUUGCUACACAGGUGAUCAAACAAGUAAGCCAUUCCACCACCAAUAUUUCAGUACUUUGUUUGACAACUGGUUGGUAUAUAUUGUUUUAUUUCGUGAAUAUAUUCUUUGCGAAUCCGUAAUGUCCUUACUAGAAAUUGCCAGUGUUGUAAUUAUUUAGUGGAACUCAGUUGACUUAAAUCCAAUGGUAACCAUAAAACGGAGUGGAACUGUUAGUUCUCAUUAUUGAAAGGUUGUGUAUUUUUAACACCUUACUAUGUGUGUUAUGCUAGUGCUGAUAUGGAGGGUACAAUCCCUUGCUUUAGAGCUUAAAUUGAAUUUGCGAAUGUUAUACGGAAUGUCAGGUGCUGAGUGUGAAUUAUAAUUGAUUAUUUUGUUUAAUGGGUUGAGAUACUUUGAUUAACUAAGUUUAUAUUUGAAGUUUUUUGUUUCAGGACCAAUUGCAAUGAUGGAAUGGAUCAGUGGUUGCAGUUUCAGUUGAAGCUCUUGAUGACUAAAUCAUGGGCUUGUUCUUUAUUACAAAACCACACUUCAAGUUGGUCUAGCUGUUGCUGUGCUUGAAGGCUUACUCCAAAUUUUCUUAUUUAUGUCCUUUGCUGGCGUAACAACCUCGUUUAAUUGGAUGAUGCUCUGCUGCGAAAAGUUUGGAGCAAAAAGGUUGGAGAACAAGGUGGACAUUAGGUUGCAGUAAGUUUCUUUGUACAUUCUUAGUUAGAUGAAUUUGUGAACAUAGGAAAUUCUAUGAACUGAUACUUAGUAUACAUUCCCCUAGUAUUUGAUACGUAACAAAUAACAUUUGGUACUUAGAAGAAUUUAAGUUCUUUUUUGUAUGAAUCCGUUGUAUGAAUCCAUUUGAAUGUGAUAAGAAUUGAUUGAAUGGAGAUGAA